AGGACUACUUUUUUCGCAACAGCUAGAGAAAUGAACAACGGAUUCCUGAAUUUUUGCGGGAUGUGGAUUUCGGAGAUGUCACCAAGGAGACAGAGUGCUGGAGAUGAUGGGAUUCUGUAGCUCAGGGUGGUGGACAGUGUCUCAGUGACUGUGAUCCAGAAAGAGUGAACUGGUUGACAGAGCCACAUGGCGUGCAGAUAGUCGUCUGUGCUACCUAAGGUGCAUUGUGAACAGAUACCUGUUUUUGCUAGGCCCAUUUUGAACAAAUAUCCUUUGGAAAAUGAUUGAAAACGCAUCU